GUGGUUCCUCAUGGUCUCUUAGUGUUUUUUCCCUCCUUCCCUUUAACGGAAAAAACCCUGGAAUUCUGGAGAGCUAAUGGACGUGCAGAUCGCAUUGACAGCAUAAAGCCCAUGUUUGAUGAACCUAAAGGAAAGGGCACCUUCACUGAGUUAUGGACGGAUUCUACAGCAAAGUCAACGAUUCAGCAUCCAAAGGGGGAUGCUUCUUUGCUGUGUGUCGGGGGAAGGUGAGGUUGUUAUGUUUUCAUGGAGUCUGGAGAAAUGCUUCAGAAUAUACUCUUUUUACCUUGGC